rnacentral:lncRNA from 10 species
UAGCAACCUCCUCCUGCCUUUGGGCAUUGGUGUUCCUGGUUCUUAAGCAUUUGGGCUUGAACUGGAGCUACACCACCAGCUUUCCUGGGUCUCCAGCUUGCAGUUAACAAAUGGUGGAACUUCUCAGCCUCCAUAAUCCGAUUCUGGGACUCACAGCAGUGGCCCACUCAGGCCCUUGAGACUUUGGCUUCGGACUAAGAGACCAUUGGAAUCUGUAGUUCUGAGGCCUUCAGACUUGACUUGGAUUGAGCCACGCUUCUGGCCUCCCCGUUUCUCCGGCUUGCAGACGGCUCAUCGUGGGACUUCCCUGUUUCCAUAAUUGGACAUGUGGCAGGCAAGUUAAUCUUCAGUGGAAUAUGCAAAUAGGAUUUCUGAAUUUGGCAUGCAAAUGAAUUUGAGAGCUUCUGGGAGCAUCUCUUCCAAGAUUCUGGUAAGCCUUUCUUCCUGGGCGAAACUUAGCAGAGGAAGGUAUAGAGAAGACCUAAGAAAGACCAAGGAGAAUUUGUGUCACUAAAAUUUGAAGCUUUGAUUCCGAAAUUUUAUUCAGCCUGAGUUGGUCAUUUGACUUUUACUGCUAUCAACUUGGGAGUUAAGGUGGUUAUGGUAUGGGGGUGGGUUUUAGGGCAAUAUGUAUGAUGAAGACUGAAAAUCAAGUUUGCAGAAAGAAAACAAAACAAAAUGAAAAUUAAAUAAAUUAUCAGGGAAGGCGAGAUGAGGGACUAAGAUGUGAAUAAGAGAGAAAAGACCAAUGUGAUUUCUAAUGGUUUUGCAGUUUUUGGUUCCAGUCCUCUGGGAAGCCUAGCGGUAUUUUCUGAUGAUAGUUUUCAUAAAAUAUUCAUCUAUGUUAUUUAAAAAGACUACUUUCUUUGGCCUCACAAGUAUAACUACAUGAUUAAUGUAAUAGUGAUGAUAUUAAUCUUAUAAUAAUAUGCUCUUUAUCUUUAUAAACAUGAUUCCCAAAUAAACUUUCUACCAUUUCAGUCUUAAAGAAGAGGAACAGUGCUGUUUAUUAAAAGGAUCAGACAAGGAGUAAAUGUGGAAUGAUCACUCUUCCCAGACCUAAUUGACUGCAGGAGGAACAGUCUGAAAUUGGGGAAAACAUCACACUACACCUAUACCUUAACUUCUCUCUGCAAACCUAAGCCCCAGAAAUAGGAUAUACAUUACCCUAUAUUGAAAUAAAAGCAAAAAUGAAGGUAUCUUUGCCCUACUCACAUUUGAGACUCUCAGAGGAGACUACCUUGAAGAAUGAUCCUGCUA